rnacentral:rRNA from 1 species
GGUGCUAUACAUGCAAGUCGAGCGAAUGGAUUAAGAGCUUGCUCUUAUGAAGUUAGCGGCGGACGGGUGAGUAACACGUGGGUAACCUGCCCAUAAGACUGGGAUAACUCCGGGAAACCGGGGCUAAUACCGGAUAACAUUUUGAACCGCAUGGUUCGAAAUUGAAAGGCGGCUUCGGCUGUCACUUAUGGAUGGACCCGCGUCGCAUUAGCUAGUUGGUGAGGUAACGGCUCACCAAGGCAACGAUGCGUAGCCGACCUGAGAGGGUGAUCGGCCACACUGGGACUGAGACACGGCCCAGACUCCUACGGGAGGCAGCAGUAGGGAAUCUUCCGCAAUGGACGAAAGUCUGACGGAGCAACGCCGCGUGAGUGAUGAAGGCUUUCGGGUCGUAAAACUCUGUUGUUAGGGAAGAACAAGUGCUAGUUGAAUAAGCUGGCACCUUGACGGUACCUAACCAGAAAGCCACGGCUAACUACGUGCCAGCAGCCGCGGUAAUACGUAGGUGGCAAGCGUUAUCCGGAAUUAUUGGGCGUAAAGCGCGCGCAGGUGGUUUCUUAAGUCUGAUGUGAAAGCCCACGGCUCAACCGUGGAGGGUCAUUGGAAACUGGGAGACUUGAGUGCAGAAGAGGAAAGUGGAAUUCCAUGUGUAGCGGUGAAAUGCGUAGAGAUAUGGAGGAACACCAGUGGCGAAGGCGACUUUCUGGUCUGUAACUGACACUGAGGCGCGAA